GAGCUGCCGCGGUGGGUGGGGCGUGCUCCCGACCGUGGGGCUGAUGCAUCCCUCUGCUUCCAAGUGUCGCGGUCAUGCAGAACUACCUGGAUCGGUCGUCUCAGGCCUCUCUGCUCCCUUGCGGGCCUGGUUUACUUAUUCAGCGGAACUGGCCCCCUUCGGAGGAGUGGGCGAGGCCCGGUGUGGAGCCGGGCGCGGUGGUGCAGAGGCCGCGGAAGUCAGGGGAGGAUGGCGGUACAAAGGAGCUCUGUAUUCGUCGGCCCUCUGGGGGAUACAGCGAGGUAGAAGCCUUGGCCCCGUUCUGAACCAGUUGACCAAAAAUCUCGAGCAGAGCGCUCCAGUGAGAGGAGGGAGAGACAGCUGUCAGCUGGAGCUGCUGAAUGCAGCGCGAAGGAUGCUGAUUUGAGCUGGGCGUGAUUUGGAAGAUCCAGGGAAGGACAUCCCAGGUCCCGGACAGCCAAAGCGAAGUCUCACAAGAUUCUGCCCUGCCCUUCAGCUCUGCAUCUGAUGGCCGGCAUCUGGGGGAUCUUGUUUUCCUAAGAUUGUUGGAAUUCCUGUUAUCAUCAUAUGAACUCUUCUCCUGGCAUCAUCAGCUUCCUGUAUCCAGGAGCUGUUCUAAGGAACCUCAGUGCAGACACCUGAGUAUCACGUUCUCUGCCUGAAGAAUUCUCCGAUCUUGGCAGAGUGUGGACCCUUUUGAGAUCUUGCUUUUUGGCAUGAUCAUUUCCUGACAUACCUCUAUGUCCAUUGGUGUAAUUUUUUGUUUUUGGAAACAGACUGAGCUGCUUCUGCCCAGAGCCAUCAAGGCUGUACCUGAAACUGUCUCCUGACCUUGGAGUGCUCAAGUUCACAUGGACUCUCCACUUUGUUCUGGAGAUAUGUGGGCUCCGGCUCAGGCAGCAUCAAGACAAGCCAGGCCUGCAGACCUCCCCAAGGGACAAAAUCCCUCCUCCUCACCCACGAAGGAUCCUUCUUGCACUUCUCCAUGACGAGAUCUGGAAGGGACUCCCCUGGUGUCUCGAACACAAGGACAUGUAACAUGAGAGCAAAGUUUCCUUUUUUUUUUUUUCCUUUUUUUUUUCGG